rnacentral:rRNA from 1 species
ACUCAAAGGAAUUGACGGGGGCCCGCACAAGCGGUGGAGCAUGUGGUUCAAUUCGACGCAACGCGAAGAACCUUACCUGGGUUAAAUCUAUUUGAAUCCCGCAGAGAAGCGGGAGUGCCCUUCGGGGAACAUUUAGAAGGUGCUGCAUGGCUGUCGUCAGCUCGUGUCGUGAGAUGUUGGGUUAAGUCCCGCAACGAGCGCAACCCUUGUCAUUAGUUGGUAACAGCUAGGCUGACCACUCUAACGAGACUGCCGGCGUUAAGCCGGAGGAAGGUGGGGAUGACGUCAAGUCCUCAUGGCCCUUAUGCCCAGGGCUACACACGUGCUACAAUGGCCGGUACAAAGGGUCGCUAACCCGCGAGGGGGAGCCAAUCCCAAAAAACCGGUCUCAGUUCGGAUUGGAGUCUGCAACUCGACUCCAUGAAGUCGGAAUCGCUAGUAAUCCCUGAUCAGCAGGCAGGGGUGAAUACGUUCCCGGGCCUUGUACACACCGCCCGU